GAAAUGCGAUAAGUAAUGUGAAUUGCAGAAUUCAGUGAAUCAUCGAAUCUUUGAACGCACCUUGCGCCCUUUGGCCAUUCCGAAGGGCAUGCCUGUUUGAGUAUCAUGAACACCUCAACUCCUCAUGGCUUGCCAUGAUGAGCUUGGACUUUUGGGGGUCUUGCUGGCCUGCAGUCAGCUCCUCUCAAAUGAAUCAGCUUGCCAGUGUUUGGUAGCGCCACAGGUGUGAUAAACAUCUACUCUUGUGGUCCCCUGCCAUGUAACCUUCAGCAAUGGGGGUUUGCUGGAGCUCACAAAUGUCUUUCCUCAGUGAAGACAGAUCUUUGAUUGUUUGAUCUCAAAUCAGGUAGGACUACCCGCUGAACUUAAGCAUAUCAAUAAGCGGAAGGAAAAAGAAACUAACAAGGAUUCCCCCUAGU
rnacentral:rRNA from 1 species